UGCGCACAAGCCCACCCUCCCAGACGCCCGUCUCCAGCCUCGCGCCCUGCCUCGCUUUGCCUGUUAGGGACGUGAGUGCUUUCCUUCCGUUUCUUCCCGUUGGCCUCGUUUGUGCCUGCUGAGUCUCGUAGAACAUGUCUAAUUCCGCUCAUGUAAGACAGCAUGGCGACGGCUCUCACCACCCCCCAUCAUCUUCUUUCUAAACGAAACAUCUUCAGUUCCUUCAAUUUCUUGUGACAUUUGCCAAGAUGAAACUGCUAUUGGUCCCUGUGUUUCCUCUUGGAAAGCCUUUGCUGAGGGAUUUGCCAUGGUGCCUUAACUCCAGAGAAUGUGAAGCUUCUGAGAUUGAAGAAGGCCAGGAUCUUCAUGGAGGAUGACCAGAACCUGCAUGGAGUUAAGAUCCCUGCGAUGGAGGUGGGGGAAAGAAUUCUCUCAUAUCACCCAGCGCAUCUGAGCCUUCAGCCAAGUGACCAUGGUAGUGAGAGAAGCUGAUGAGGAGAUUCCACACACAUACAUUUUAUCAAACAAGCCAUAGAUCUUCAUGAAGCUAGGAAUUUACAUCGAAGACCUGGGGAAAAUGAACAAAGCCAAAAUUAAAUUGAAUUUUAAAUUAA